rnacentral:rRNA from 1 species
UGCAUGAACUAAGCCAUGCGAGUCAUUGUAGCAAUACAAGGCAGACGGCUCAGUAACGCGUAGUCAACCUAACCUAUGGACGGGAAUAACCUCGGGAAACUGAGAAUAAUGCCCGAUAGAACACUAUAUCUGGAAUGGUUUGUGUUCCAAAUGAUUUAUCGCCAUAGGAUGGGACUGCGGCCUAUCAGUUUGUUGGUGAGGUAAUGGCCCACCAAGACUAUUACAGGUACGGGCUCUGAGAGGAGUAGCCCGGAGAUGGGUACUGAGACACGGACCCAGGCCCUAUGGGGCGCAGCAGGCGAGAAAACUUUGCAAUGUGCGAAAGCACGACAAGGUUAAUCCGAGUGGUUUCUGCUAAAGGAACCUUUUGUCGGUCCUAGAAACACCGAUGAAUAAGGGGUGGGCAAGUUCUGGUGUCAGCCGCCGCGGUAAAACCAGCACCUCAAGUGGUCAGGAUGAUUAUUGGGCCUAAAGCAUCCGUAGCCGGCUCUGUAAGUUUUCGGUUAAAUCUGUACGCUCAACGUACAGGCUGCCGGGAAUACUGUAGAGCUAGGGAGUGGGAGAGGUAGACGGUACUCGGUAGGAAGGGGUAAAAUCCUUUGAUCUAUUGAUGACCACCUGUGGCGAAGGCGGUCUACCAGAACACGUCCGACGGUGAGGGAUGAAAGCUGGGGGAGCAAACCGGAUUAGAUACCCGGGUAGUCCCAGCUGUAAACUAUGCAAACUCAGUGAUGCAUUGGCUUGUGGCCAAUGCAGUGCUGCAGGGAAGCCGUUAAGUUUGCCGCCUGGGAAGUACGUACGCAAGUAUGAAACUUAAAGGAAUUGGCGGGGGAGCACCACAAGGGGUGAAGCCUGCGGUUCAAUUGGAGUCAACGCCGGG